rnacentral:tRNA from 2 species
UCCCCGAUAGCUCAGUUGGUAGAGCAAGCGGCUGUUAACCGCUUUGUCGCAAGUUCGAGUCUUGCUCGGGGAGCCA